rnacentral:rRNA from 1 species
UACGUAGGGGGCGAGCGUUGUCCGGAUUUAUUGGGCGUAAAGAGCUUGUAGGCGGUUUGUCGCGUCUGCUGUGAAAUUUCGGGGCUCAACCCCGAACUUGCAGUGGGUACGGGCAGACUAGAGUGUGGUAGGGGAGACUGGAAUUCCUGGUGUAGCGGUGAAAUGCGCAGAUAUCAGGAGGAACACCGAUGGCGAAGGCAGGUCUCUGGGCCACUACUGACGCUGAGAAGCGAAAGCAUGGGGAGCGAACAGG